GACAGAGGGUGCAAACGUUGUUCGGAAUUACUGGGCGUAAAGCGCGUGUAGGCUGCUGCGAAAGUCAGAUGUGAAAGCCCCGGGCUCAACCUGGGAACGGCAUUUGAUACUGGCUGACUAGAAUGUGGUAGAGGGAGGCGGAAUUCCCGGUGUAGCGGUGAAAUGCGUAGAGAUCGGGAAGAACACCAAUGGCGAAGGCAGCCUCCUGGGCCAACAUUGACGCUGAGACGCGAAAGCGUGGGGAGCAAACAGGG
rnacentral:rRNA from 1 species